rnacentral:rRNA from 1 species
AGGGUUUGAUCAUGGCUCAGAAUGAACGCUGGCGGCGUGCUUUACACAUGCAAGUCGAGCGAGGCCACCCGCAAGGGUGAGUCGAGCGGCGAACGGGUGAGUAACGCGUGGAUGACCUGCCCUUGAAUGGGGAAUAACCCGGGGAAACUCGGGCUAAUACCGCAUACGACCGAGAGGUGAAAGGGGGCUCGCAAGGGCUCUCGUUCGAGGAGGGGUCCGCGUUCGAUUAGCUAGUUGGUAGGGUAAUGGCCUACCAAGGCGACGAUCGAUAGCCGGCCUGAGAGGGUGAUCGGCCACACUGGAACUGAGACACGGUCCAGACUCCUACGGGAGGCAGCAGUGGGGAAUUUUGCGCAAUGGGCGAGAGCCUGACGCAGCAACGCCGCGUGGAGGAUGAAGGUCUUUGGAUUGUAAACUCCUGUCAGCGGGGAAAAAGGGACUCAGGCUAAUACCCUGGGGACUUGAUUGUACCCGCAGAGGAAGCCCCGGCUAACUCUGUGCCAGCAGCCGCGGUAAUACAGAGGGGGCGAGCGUUAUUCGGAAUUAUUGGGCGUAAAGGGCGCGUAGGCGGCCUUUCAAGUGACGGGUGAAAUCCCUCGGCUUAACCGAGGAACUGCCUGUCAGACUGGAAGGCUUGAGACCGGGGAGAGGUGAGUGGAAUUCCCAGUGUAGCGGUGAAAUGCGUAGAUAUUGGGAGGAACACCAAUGGGCGAAGGCGGCUCACUGUACCGUUACUGACGCUGAGGCGCAAAAGCGUGGUGAGCAACAAGAUAAAAACCCUGCUAGUCACGCUGUAUACGAUGAAUGAUUGCUGUAGCGGGUAACGAUCCCUGCUGUGCUUAAAACCAGCAGAUUAAACACUCUGUCUGGUUGAGUCUGUGGCA